GAUGAACGCUGGCGGUGUGCCUAACACAUGCAAGUCGAGCGAAGCGAUUUAACGGAAGUUUUCGGAUGGAAGUUAAAUUGACUGAGCGGCGACGGGUGAGUAACGCGUGGUAACCUGCCUCAUACAGGGGGAUAACAGUUAGAAAUGACUGCUAAUACCGCAUAAGCGCACAGCAUCGCAUGAUGCAGUGUGAAAAACUCCGGUGGUAUGAGAUGGACCCGCGUCUGAUUAGGUAGUUGGUGAGGUAACGGCCCACCAAGCCGACGAUCAGUAGCCGACCUGAGAGGGUGACCGGCCACAUUGGGACUGAGACACGGCCCAG
rnacentral:rRNA from 1 species